UGGCGUCUUCGGCGUCCGCCUUGUAAUCUCAAGAAGUGUUUUCCGCUUCGGACCAAGCCUAAGUCCCCUGGAAAGGGGCAUCAUAGAGGGUGAUAAUCCCGUACAUGGCUUGGAGCGCCCGUAGCUUUGUGAUACACUUUCUAAGAGUCGAGUUGUUUGGGAAUGCAGCUCAAAAUGGGUGGUAAAUGCCAUCUAAGGCUAAAUAUUGGGGAGAGACCGAUAGCGAACAAGUACAGUGAUGGAAAGAUGAAAAGAACUUUGAAAAGAGAGUUAAACAGUACGUGAAAUUGCCAAAAGGGAAGGGUAGGAGGUCAGAGAUGCGGCCUAGGAUUCAGCCUUGCUUUUGCUUGGUGUUUUUCCUAGAUUGCAGGCCAACGUCGGUUUUGGGCACUGGAGAAGGGUGGAAGGAACGUGGCACCUCUCGGGGUGUGUUAUAGCCUUCCACUGGAUACAGCGACCGAGACCGAGGACAGCAGCGUACUCGCAAGAGCGGGCCUUCGGGCACCUUUACGCUUAGGGCGUUGGCAUAAUGGCCCUCUACCACCCGUCUUGAAACAC
rnacentral:rRNA from 2 species